rnacentral:rRNA from 1 species
UACGUAGGGUGCGAGCGUUGUCCGGAAUUAUUGGGCGUAAAGAGCUUGUAGGCGGUCUGUCGCGUCUGCUGUGAAAAUCCGGGGCUCAACCCCGGACUUGCAGUGGGUACGGGCAGACUAGAGUGUGGUAGGGGAGACUGGAAUUCCUGGUGUAGCGGUGAAAUGCGCAGAUAUCAGGAGGAACACCAAUAGCGAAGGCAGCUCGCUGGGACGUUACUGACACUGAGGCGCGAAAGCGUGGGGAGCGAACAGG